rnacentral:rRNA from 1 species
GAUGAACGCUGGCGGCGUGCUUAACACAUGCAAGUCGAACGGGGUCCAAGGGGUGCUUGCCCUUUUUGGUGAGAGUGGCGAACGGGUGAGUAACACGUGAGUAAACUGUCCUUUUCUUUGGGAUAAGCAUUCGAAAGGGUGUUUAAUACCUUAUGUUCUGUCUGCCUCGCAUGGGGGGGGGGGGAAAGGCUUUGGCCGGAUUUGGGUGGGCUCGCGGUCUAUCAGCUUGUUGGUGGGGUGAUGGCUUACCAAGGCUUUGACGGGUAGCCGGCCUGAGAGGGUGGUCGGUCACAUUGGGACUGAGAUACGGCCCAGACUCCUGCGGGAGGCAGCAGUGGGGGAUAUUGCACAAUGGGCGAAAGCCUGAUGCAGCGACGCCGCGUGGGGGAUGAAGGCCUUCGGGUUGUAAACUUCUUUUGCUCUGAACAAGGCAUGCCAGUGGGUGUGUUGAGUGUAGGGGUUGAUUAGCGCCGGCUAACUACGUG